CCUACGGGAGGCAGCAGUGAGGAAUAUUGGUCAAUGGGCGUAAGCCUGAACCAGCCAAGUCGCGUGAGGGAUGAAGGUUCUAUGGAUCGUAAACCUCUUUUAUAAGGGAAUAAAGUGUGGGACGUGUCCUAUUUUGUAUGUACCUUAUGAAUAAGAAUCGGCUAAAUCCGUCCCAGCAGCCGCGGUAAUACGGAGGAUCCGAGCGUUAUCCGGAUUUAUUGGGUUUAAAGGGUGCGUAGGCGGCCUUUUAAGGUAGCGGUGAAAGUCUGUGGGCAAACCAUAGAAUUGCCGUUGAAACUGGGGGGCUAGAGUAUGUUUGAGGCAGGCGGAAUGCGUGGUGUAGCGGUGAAAUGCAUAGAUAUCACGCAGAACCCCGAUUGCGAAGGCAGCCUGCCAAGCCAUGACUGACGCUGAUGCACGAAAGCGUGGGUAUCAAACAGGAUUAGAUACCCCAGUAGUC
rnacentral:rRNA from 1 species